CGGUGAACACGGAGCUUGCUCUGUGGGAUCAGUGGCGAACGGGUGAGUAACACGUGAGCAACCUGCCCCUGACUCUGGGAUAAGCGCUGGAAACGGCGUCUAAUACUGGAUACGAGUAGCGACCGCAUGGUCAGUUACUGGAAAGAUUUAUUGGUUGGGGAUGGGCUCGCGGCCUAUCAGCUUGUUGGUGAGGUAAUGGCUCACCAAGGCGUCGACGGGUAGCCGGCCUGAGAGGGUGACCGGCCACACUGGGACUGAGACACGGCCCAGACUCCUACGGGAGGCAGCAGUGGGGAAUAUUGCACAAUGGGCGCAAGCCUGAUGCAGCAACGCCGCGUGAGGGAUGACGGCCUUCGGGUUGUAAACCUCUUUUAGCAGGGAAGAAGCGAAAGUGACGGUACCUGCAGAAAAAGCGCCGGCUAACUACGUGCCAGCAGCCGCGGUAAUACGUAGGGCGCAAGCGUUAUCCGGAAUUAUUGGGCGUAAAGAGCUCGUAGGCGGUUUGUCGCGUCUGCUGUGAAAUCCGGAGGCUCAACCUCCGGCCUGCAGUGGGUACGGGCAGACUAGAGUGCGGUAGGGGAGAUUGGAAUUCCUGGUGUAGCGGUGGAAUGCGCAGAUAUCAGGAGGAACACCGAUGGCGAAGGCAGAUCUCUGGGCCGUAACUGACGCUGAGGAGCGAAAGGGUGGGGAGCAAACAGGCUUAGAUACCCUGGUAGUCCACCCCGUAAACGUUGGGAACUAGUUGUGGGGUCCAUUCCACGGAUUCCGUGACGCAGCUAACGCAUUAAGUUCCCCGCCUGGGGAGUACGGCCGCAAGGCUAAAACUCAAAGGAAUUGACGGGGACCCGCACAAGCGGCGGAGCAUGCGGAUUAAUUUCGAUGCAACGCGAAG
rnacentral:rRNA from 1 species